UACAGAGGGGGCAAGCGUUGUUCGGAAUUACUGGGCGUAAAGGGCGCGUAGGCGGGUCUUUAAGUCAGGGGUGAAAUCCUGGAGCUCAACUCCAGAACUGCCUUUGAUACUGAAGAUCUUGAGUUCGGGAGAGGUGAGUGGAACUGCGAGUGUAGAGGUGAAAUUCGUAGAUAUUCGUAAGAACACCGGUGGCGAAGGCGGCUCUCUGGACGGUGACUGACGCUGAGACGCGAAAGCGUGGGGAGCAAACAGG
rnacentral:rRNA from 1 species